rnacentral:miRNA from 1 species
AAGAACACCCAAAAUAGCUGAA